UACGUAGGGGCCUAGCGUUGUCCGGAUUUAUUGGGCGUAAAGAGCUCGUAGGCGGCCUGUUGCGUCCGCUGUGAAAGCCCGGGGCUUAACCCCGGGUCGGCAGUGGAUACGGGCAGGCUAGAGGUAGGUAGGGGAGAAUGGAAUUCCCGGUGUAGCGGUGAAAUGCGCAGAUAUCGGGAGGAACACCGGUGGCGAAGGCGGUUCUCUGGGCCUUACCUGACGCUGAGGAGCGAAAGCGUGGGGAGCGAACAGG
rnacentral:rRNA from 1 species